CGGUGGACUGGUAGACCUCGGUGCCGUAGACCCAGCCGUCGACGCAGUCCUCCUGUUCCAGACUGCUCAGGUUGACGUCCCGGCCCGGCAGCAGCCCCCCGGCUGAAAGCUUGCGAAGCACGUCCAACCUGUAGCGACGACAGCGGCUUGCCUGCGGCUCCCCGUCCACCACCUCGAGAGAAAACCAGAAGAGCAGCUUACCUCCAGUGGAACUGCAACCUCCCACCACUCCUGGCUGAGGUUGGCCUUAGGGAUCCGGCAUCGAUGCUGGGGUGUGUCGGUGAUGAACACCAGCGAGAAGGAGCCAGUCCCGUUGGGCAAGAUGGUGGAGCAAAGCAGGAAAAAAACCAUCAGCUGGAAGCGACCCCACGUUCCCAGGAAGGCCACGCUGCUAUCAUAGUGCUGCAUGACUUGCAUUUCUUUCAACUCACUAGACGACACUCCCCUUCGUGCACUUCAGGUGAGAGGAGAUUAUAUGUAUUUUUUCAAUCAUUUAUUUGUUU